rnacentral:rRNA from 1 species
GAUGAACGCUAGCGGCAGGCUUAAUACAUGCAAGUCGUGGGGCAGCAGGUUUGUAGCAAUACAGAUGCUGGCGACCGGCAAACGGGUGCGGAACACGUACAGAACCUUCCUUUGAGCGGGGAAUAGCCCAGAGAAAUUUGGAUUAAUACCCCAUAGUAUAAUGAAGUGGCAUCACUUUAUUAUUAAAGAUUUAUCACUCGAAGAUGGCUGUGCGGCUGAUUAGGUAGUUGGCGGGGUAAAGGCCCACCAAGCCUGCGAUCAGUAACUGGUGUGAGAGCACGACCAGUCACACGGGCACUGAGACACGGGCCCGACUCCUACGGGAGGCAGCAGUAAGGAAUAUUGGUCAAUGGAGGCAACUCUGAACCAGCCAUGCCGCGUGGAGGAUGAAGGUCCUCUGGAUUGUAAACUUCUUUUAUAUGGGACGAAAAAAGGACUCUUCUAAGUCGUCUGACGGUACCAUAUGAAUAAGCACCGGCUAACUCCGUGCCAG